rnacentral:rRNA from 1 species
GACGAACCGUGCGAACGUUGUUCGGAUUCACUGGGCUUAAAGGGCGCGUAGGCGGAUGGUCAAGUCGGGGGUGAAAUCUUUCAGCUUAACUGGAAAAGUGCCUCCGAUACUGAUCGUCUCGAGGGAGGUAGGGGCAUGUGGAACUUCCGGUGGAGCGGUGAAAUGCGUAGAUAUUGGAAGGAACGCCGGUGGCGAAAGCGACGUGCUGGACCUCUUCUGACGCUGAGGAGCGAAAGCCAGGGGAGCAAACGGG